UCAGGAAUCUGCAGGAGUCUGUGGAGGAGGAAGCCCCCCAGGAGUCCUGGGAUGAAGGUGAUUCGACUCUCUCAGUUCCUCCUGGCCCAUCUGCCUUCAAUGAGACUUUGAGGAGCAACUUGCACUCAUUAGAGGAGCAGCAAGUCAUCUCGGCUGUUGACAUAGACAAGAUUAAAAAUGACCAAGAAGAAGAAGAAGACCAAGGCCCACCAUGCCCCAGGCUCAGCAUGGAGCUGGUGGAAGCAGAAGAACCUGAAGUCUUCCGGUACUCACUGGAUGUAUUGUAUUCAACUUAUGCAGCUUAUCCUGAAUUUUAUUUCACAUGCCAGGCUUACACAUAUGUGAUUUUUUUAUUUGUGGAAGAGCAUGUUCGCUUGACUUUGGACAUGGACAGGUCAAUGCUACCUCACCCAUCUGCAGGCAGAGAAGGUCCUGUGUGUCUCCCACCGUGAUUGUGAUACCAGGACUGUUCCACCAUUUGUCUACCAUCAUGAUCCUGAUACCAGGACUCUUCCACCAUUUGUGUUCCACCAUGUUCGUGGUACCAGGACUGUUCCACCAUUUGUCUACAACCAUGAUUGUGAUACCAGGAAACCACCGUUUGUCUAUUACCAUGAUCGUGGUACCAGGACUGUUCUACCAUUUGUCUACCACCAUGAUUGUGAUACCAGGACUGUUGCACCAUUUGUCUACCGCCAUGAUUGGGGUACCAAGACUGUGUUACCUUUUAUCUACCAUUAUGAUUGUCAUACCAGGUCUUCCACCAUUUGUCUAUCACCAUGAUCGUGAUACCAAAACUCUUCCACCAUUUGUCUAAGAUUAUGAUCGUGAUACCAGGACUGUUCCUUCAUUUGUCUACCAUCAUGAUCGUGAUACCAGUACCGUUUCACUAUUUCUCUAUCACCAUUAUUGUGAUGCCAGAUCUGUACCUUUCAGAGACAGCUUAUUUAUACCGAAGUAAUUGGAAAAAUGGUUUUUAAAUGUAUUAAUAUGCUGUGUUCAAAUGACCAUCCCCUAAACAUUUUCUUCAUUAAUCAUCCCUGGCAGUGUCAAUUAUUAUAUUUAUAUCUCUCUACUGGAAAUUUUCAAUUUUUCCUGUAUCUUUGCUUUUUCUAGUUGUCUGUUGUUGGAAAAAAAAAGUUCCUGCCUGCAUUUUAAUUUUUGCCAAAGUUAAUUUUAAUCUAUACUAUUAAAAUGUUUUCUCUUAAGACUGUCAGCACAUAAGGCCACAGCAAAACAGA
rnacentral:lncRNA from 13 species